rnacentral:rRNA from 1 species
UACAGAGGUCUCAACCGUUGUUCGGAUUUAUUGGGCGUAAAGGGUGCGUAGGUGGUUAUGUAAGUCGGGUGUGAAAUAUUAGGGCUCAACCCUAAAACUGCACUCGAUACUGCAUAGCUUGAGCGCUGGAAAGGAGACUGGAAUUUACGGUGUAGCAGUGAAAUGCGUAGAUAUCGUAAGGAAGACCAGUGGCGAAAGCGAGUCUCUGGACAGAUGCUGACACUGAGGCACGAAGGCUAGGGGAGCAAACGGG